rnacentral:rRNA from 1 species
UUGAUUUUAUGCUUGCAUAAAUGAUUUUUGGAUUCGGAGCGAGUGGCGAACUGGUGAGUAACACGUGGGUAACCUGCCCCGAAGCGGGGGAUAACAUUUGGAAACAAGUGCUAAUACCGCAAAUUAGUUGGAACCGCAUGGUUCCAACUUGAAAGAUGGCUCUGCUAUCACUUUGGGAUGGACCCGCGCCGUAUUAGUUAGUUGGUGAGAUAAAAGCCCACCAAGACGAUGAUACGUAGCCGACCUGAGAGGGUAAUCGGCCACAUUGGGACUGAGACACGGCCCAGACUCCUACGGGAGGCAGCAGUAGGGAAUCUUCCACAAUGGACGAAAGUCUGAUGGAGCAACGCCGCGUGAGUGAUGAAGGUUUUCGGAUCGUAAAACUCUGUUGUUAAAGAAGAACAAGUGUUAGAGUAACUGUUAACACUUUGACGGUAUUUAACCAGAAAGCCACGGCUAACUACGUGCCAGCAGCCGCGGUAAUACGUAGGUGGCAAGCGUUGUCCGGAUUUAUUGGGCGUAAAGCGAGCGCAGGCGGUUUUGUAAGUCUGCUGUGAAAGCCCUCAGCUCAACUGAGGAAGUGCAGUGGAAACUACAAAACUUGAGUACAGAAGAGGAAAGUGGAACUCCAUGUGUAGCGGUGAAAUGCGUAGAUAUAUGGAAGAACACCAGUGGCGAAGGCGGCUUUCUGGUCUGUUACUGACGCUGAGGCUCGAAAGCAUGGGUAGCGAACAGGAUUAGAUACCCUGGUAGUCCAUGCCGUAAACGAUGAAUACUAGGUGUUGGAGGGUUUCCGCCCUUCAGUGCCGCAGCUAACGCAUUAAGUAUUCCGCCUGGGGAGUACGACCGCAAGGUUGAAACUCAAAGGAAUUGACGGGGGCCCGCACAAGUGGUGGGCAUGUGGUUUAAUUCGAUGCUACGCGAAGAACCUUACCAGCUCUUGACAUCUUCUGCCAACCCAAGAGAUUGGGCGUUCCCUUCGGGGACAGAAUGACAGGUGGUGCAUGGUUGUCGUCAGCUCGUGUCGUGAGAUGUUGGGUUAAGUCCCGCAACGAGCGCAACCCUUAUUAUUAGUUGCCAGCAUUUAGUUGGGCACUCUAGUGAGACUGCCGGUGAUAAACCGGAGGAAGGUGGGGACGACGUCAAAUCAUCAUGCCCCUUAUGAGCUGGGCUACACACGUGCUACAAUGGAUGGUACAACGAGUCGCGAAACCGCGAGGUCAAGCUAAUCUCUUAAAGCCAUUCUCAGUUCGGAUUGCAGGCUGCAACUCGCCUGCAUGAAGUUGGAAUCACUAGUAAUCGUGGAUCAGCAUGCCACGGUGAAUACGUUCCCGGGCCUUGUACACACCGCCCGUCACACCAUGAGAGUUUGUAACACCCAAAGAC